UUGAUUCAAAAAUACAAUUUAUUUUAAAAACAAAAAGAGGGAAUGGAUGCAGAAGCCCGUCUGGGCUUUCCGUGGAGUCGCCCCUUCCCAAUGGCGAUGGCCGCUCCCUGUGGCCUCAGCUUCCUCCGUGGAAUGAAGGGGUCCAGGUGACACCUUCCUCGAAGGGUGGGCGUGGGCCUGAGGCUCCCAAGUCGGCCAGGGGCUCGGCCUGGCUCAGAAGAGGUGGGGAAGCCAGCGAGGGGCGUGGGUUGAGGGACAGGACUUGACUUAGGCUCAUGUCGCCAUCUUGUGGCUGUGGAAGGAACAGACUGUGGCUUUGACAGAGGUGACUUUGGAGCUUUUUUUUUUUUUUUUU
rnacentral:lncRNA from 10 species